AAGUUCUUUAUGACUGAGUGGCGGACGGGUGAGUAACGCGUGGGUAACCUGCCUUGUACUGGGGGAUAGCAGCUGGAAACGGCUGGUAAUACCGCAUAAGCGCACAAUGUUGCAUGACAUGGUGUGAAAAACUCCGGUGGUAUAAGAUGGACCCGCGUCUGAUUAGCUAGUUGGUGAGAUAACAGCCCACCAAGGCGACGAUCAGUAGCCGACCUGAGAGGGAGACCGGCCACAUUGGGACUGAGACACGGCCCAGACUCCUACGGGAGGCAGCAGUGGGGAAUAUUGCACAAUGGAGGAAACUCUGAUGCAGCGACGCCGCGUGAGUGAAGAAGUAAUUCGUUAUGUAAAGCUCUAUCAGCAGGGAAGAUAGUGACGGUACCUGACUAAGAGGCUCCGGCUAAAUACGUGCCAGCAGCCGCGGUAAUACGUAUGGGGCAAGCGUUAUCCGGAUUUACUGGGUGUAAAGGGAGUGUAGGUGGCCAUGCAAGUCAGAAGUGAAAAUCCGGGGCUCAACCCCGGAACUGCUUUUGAAACUGUAAGGCUAGAGUGCAGGAGGGGUGGGUGGAAUUCCUAGUGUAGCGGUGAAAUGCGUAGAUAUUAGGAGGAACACCAGUGGCGAAGGCGGCUCACUGGAC
rnacentral:rRNA from 1 species